GACGAACGCUGGCGGCGUGCCUAAUACAUGCAAGUAGAACGCUGAAGCUUGGUGCUUGCCCCGAGCGGAUGAGUUGCGAACGGGUGAGUAACGCGUAGGUAACCUGCCUGGUAGCGGGGGAUAACUAUUGGAAACGAUAGCUAAUACCGCAUAAGAGUAGAUGUUGCAUGACAUUUGCUUAAAAGGUGCAAUUGCAUCACUACCAGAUGGACCUGCGUUGUAUUAGCUAGUUGGUGAGGUAACGGCUCACCAAGGCAACGAUACAUAGCCGACCUGAGAGGGUGAUCGGCCACACUGGGACUGAGACACGGCCCAGACUCCUACGGGAGGCAGCAGUAGGGAAUCUUCGGCAAUGGACGGAAGUCUGACCGAGCAACGCCGCGUGAGUGAAGAAGGUUUUCGGAUCGUAAAGCUCUGUUGUAAGAGAAGAACGAGUGUGAGAGUGGAAAGUUCACACUGUGACGGUAGCUUACCAGAAAGGGACGGCUAACUACGUG
rnacentral:rRNA from 1 species